rnacentral:lncRNA from 1 species
CAUCUUUCAUCUGCCAUGUCUUGAAAGAAAGCUUCUUGUAGUCCACAGGUGACGGGCAUCAGAAGAGCUGAUGAAGGUCUGUCCCGUGAGUAUGGUAUCUGCCUUUGUUAGCGUGGUGGCAGGCGAGGAGGCCAAGAUAAUGGCAGGAGUGCUUUCUUCAGUCUGAUAAAGAAACUUCAUCAACAAAACGUGUUGGAACCAGUAUUUCCCAAACUGUGCUUUAUGUAACUUUCUGUGACAAGUUAAUUUGUUUGGAAGACAGAUGAAAGAAAGUACCCAGUCCAAUAAGCCAGAAGCUGAGACUCUGAUGCUAGAUCUUCUCAGAGAAGAAGGAGUAUGGAAGGCCUUAGAUCAAGCCCUUUAUGUUACAGGGUCCUUACACCUACUGUGCCUGUGUGGUGGAGGAAAUGUGGUCCAAAGUUGGGCUAUGGCACUUCUCU